AAAGACUGAAUUCUUGGGUUUCCAUGUCCAACGUUUGAUCGUCCGUCUUAUAUGAAUUUUUUUUAUGAUUAGUAUUUUCAUUAUUGUUAGAACAUAAAAUAUGAAUAAUACUUUAUGCAUGACUUAUUCUUUUUAUUUUUUUCAUAUUUUUUUCAAAUAAGACGGACGGUCAAAUGUUAGGCACGAAAACCCAGGAAUUGAGUUAUU
rfam:Oryza meridionalis cultivar OR44 (W2112) chromosome 3, whole genome shotgun sequence.